rnacentral:rRNA from 1 species
AUUGAGCGCUGGCGGCGUGCUUAACACAUGCAAGUCGAUCGGUAACGCGGGGGCAACCCUGGCGACGAGAGGCGGACGGGUGAGGAACGCUUGGGAAUCUGCCUAUCAGCGGGGGACAACACGGGGAAACUCGUGCUAAUACCGCAUACGCUCUACGGAGAAAAGCCGGGGACCGCAAGGCCUGGCACUGAUAGAUGAGCCCAAGCCGGAUUAGCUAGUUGGCGGGGUAACGGCCCACCAAGGCGACGAUCCGUAGCUGGUCUGAGAGGACGAUCAGCCACACUGGGACUGAGACACGGCCCAGACUCCUACGGGAGGCAGCAGUGGGGAAUAUUGGACAAUGGGGGAAUCCCUGAUCCAGCGACGCCGCGUGGGUGAAGAAGGCCUGCGGGUUGUAAAGCCCUUUCGGUAGGGACGAAAGCUCUCGACCUAACACGUCGGGAGGUUGACUUAACCUACAAAAGAAGCACCGGCUAACUCUGUGCCCGCCGCCGCCGUAACAC